AACGAACGCUGGCGGCAGGCUUAACACAUGCAAGUCGAACGCGUGUAGCAAUACACGAGUGGCGCACGGGUGAGUAACGCGUGGAUAUCUGCCUUUUGGUUCGGAAUAACCCCGGGAAACUGGGGCUAAUACCGGAUGGUUCCUUCGGGAUAAAGAUUUAUCGCCAAAAGAUGAGUCCGCGUACGAUUAGCUAGUUGGUGAGGUAAUGGCUCACCAAGGCGACGAUCGUUAGCUGGUCUGAGAGGACGAUCAGCCACACUGGGACUGAGA
rnacentral:rRNA from 1 species